rnacentral:lncRNA from 10 species
GGCUUAAACAACAGAAAUUUAUUUGCUCAUAAUUUUUGAGGCUGGAAGUCCAGGAUCAAAGUGUAGAUAAGGAUGAUUUCCUCUAUAAUGAGCCUUAAAAGAAGGAUCUCCUCCAGGAAUCUCUCUUUGCCUUGAAGGUAACCAUUUCCGGUCACUUCACAUAAAAUUCUGUGCCUGCUACCCUGGUAUCUCUUUCACUUCUUAUAAGGAAACCAGUCAUAUUGAAUGAGGGCCCCAUUCUAACUGCCUCAUUUUAAAAUCACCUCUUUAAAAAACCACAUCUCUAAAUACCACCAUUAUCUUGAGGUCCCAGGGAUGAAAGCCUUAAUGUUAAUGAGUGGAUGGGACAUGUGACAUAAUCUAAAUCAGUGGUCCCCUAACUUUUUGGCACCAGGGACCAGUUUCGUGGAAGACAUUUUUCCCACGGACUGGAGUUGGGGAUUAAACUGUUCCAGUUCAGAUCAUCAGGCAUUAGAUUCUCAUAAGGAGUGUGCAACCUAGAUCCCUUGCAUGUGCAGUUCACAAUAAAGUUCAUGCUCCUAUGAGAAUCUAAUGCCACUGCUGAUCUGACAGAAAGUUGAGCUCAGGCAGUAAUGUUUGCUCAUCCUACAUUCACCUCCUGCUGUGCACCCUGGAUCCUAGCAGGCCACAGACCAGUACCAGUCCAUGGCCCAGGGGUUUGGGGAUCCCUGACCUAGGCCAUUCCACUUAUUAUAGUCAUCAAGUUAUUCUCCAGCAUACAUUGCAUAUGAAUAUUAAAGCUUGUGGAACAUAAAAGGGUUUUCCCACAAUCCUUGAAUUCAUAGUUUCUCUCCAGUUUGUGUUCUAAAAUGUUUAUCAAGGACUAAGUGGCAGGCAAGGGCUUUCCCACAUUCCUUACAUCAAUAUGGCUUCUCUCCACUGGGAAUCCUGACAUACACUUUAAGGCUUGAGAAAUAAGUGAAGAUUUUCCCACAUUCCGUAUAAACAUAGGUUUUCUCCUAGUGGGAGUUUUGUGGUAUCAGUCCUAUGGAUUAAAUGAAGCCUUUCCCAUAUUUUCCAUUUACAUAGGGUUUCCUGCCACUGUGAAUUCUUACAAGUUCAUUAUGACCUGAGAUAAUAAAGAAGUGGUUCCAGAUUCCCAACUCUCACAGCAUUUUUCUACAAUGUGACUGUUCACAUCUUUCAUGUAAAUGGGAACAACAGAGAGCUUUACCACAAUUCUAACAUUGAUAAGAUUUCUCUCCAGUGUGAGUUCUUUAAUGACAUGGAAAGGGACUGUAAGAAUUGAAGAACUGGCUGGGCGUGAUGGCUCAUGCCUGUAAUCUCAGCACUUUGGGAGGUCAAACCAGGCAGAUCACUGGAGGUCAGGAGUUCGAGACCAGCCUGAUCAACAUGGAGAAUCCCUGCCUUCACUAAAAAUACAAAAUUAGCUGGGAUUACAGGGUUGAGCCACUGCGCCUAGCCUUUUAUUUAUUUAUUUAUUUUUUUGAGACAGUGUCUCACUGUUUCCCAGGCUGGAGUGCAGUAUCACAAUCUCGGCUCACUGUGACCUCCACCUCCUGGAUUCAAGCAAUUCAGGCUGGUCAUGAACUCCCAACCUCAGGUGAUCCACCUGCCUUGGCCUCCCAAAGUGCUGGUAUUACAGGCAUAAGCCACCACACCUGGAGUUUUAGUCAGAGCUUCAGUGACCUGGAGGAAGGGAAAUAUCCAACUCCAGCCAACUCUAUACAUCCUGACCCAACUAAAGGGUGGGAAAAACUGAAGUUCACAGUGCAGAAGCACAGACUCACUGCAAGACUGACAUCUAAUCCCUGGACAAUAGAAUGCUGCCCCUCUCCCCACAGCUUAUCAUGAUUACUAGAGGCCUGCUUACAGCAUUUCCUCUUAUCCAGUAUGCCAUGUCCAGCUAAGGAAAAAUUACAAGCAUACUAAAAGGCAAAAGUUAGUUUAAAGAGAAAGAGUAAGAACCAGAACCAGAUAUAGCAGGAUUGCUGAAAUUAUCAGACUGGGAAUUUAAAACAAUUAUGAUUGAUAUGCCAUGGGUUCUACUGGAUAAAGCAGACAGCAUCCAAGAACAGACAGGCAGUGUAAACACAGAGAUGGAAAUUCUAAGAACCACAAAGAAAUGCUAGAAAUUGAAGACAGUGUAACAGAAAUGAAGAAUGUCUUUGGUAGGCUUAUUAUUGGCCAAGAAACAGCCAACUAAAGAGCUUGAGAAUAUAUCAGCAGAAACAUCCACACCUGAAAAGCAAAGAGAAGAAUAAAAAAACAAGAUAUAAGAACUGUGGGAUAACUACAAAAGAUGU